AGAAACUUAGGAUAAAACUAAACCAAGAGCCUUCAAAGCCCUAAACAGGGGUUAUACCCCCCUAGUUUCUGCCACCC
rnacentral:tRNA from 1 species